rnacentral:rRNA from 1 species
ACUCCUACGGGAGGCAGCAGUGAGGAAUAUUGGACAAUGAGGCAACUCUGAUCCAGCCAUGCCGCGUGUAGGAAGACGGCCCUAUGGGUUGUAAACUACUUUUGUACGGGAAGAAAUACAGUCACGUGUGAUUGUUUGACGGUACCGUAAGAAUAAGCACCGGCUAACUCCGUGCCAGCAGCCGCGGUAAUACGGAGGGGUGCAAGCGUUAUCCGGAAUCAUUGGGUUUAAAGGGUCCGUAGGCGGGUAAUUAAGUCAGUGGUGAAAUGCAGGGGCUCAACUCCGGCACUGCCAUUGAUACUGGUUAUCUUGAAUUAUUGUGAAGUGGUUAGAAUAUGUAGUGUAGCGGUGAAAUGCUUAGAUAUUACAUAGAAUACCGAUUGCGAAGGCAGAUCACUACAAUAUAUUGACGCUGAUGGACGAAAGCGUGGGGAGCGAACAGGAUUAGAUACCCUGGUAGGAUAGCG